rnacentral:rRNA from 1 species
GUUUGAUUCUGGCUCAGGAUGAACGCUGGCGGCAUGCCUAAUACAUGCAAGUCGAACGGAGUGAAGCCUUCGGGUUUCAUUCAGUGGCGAACGGGUGAGUAAUACGCAGGGAACCUGGCCAUGGCAGGGGGAUACACUCUGGAAACGGAGCAUAAGACCCCAUAGGCAGUAAGGCGGCAUCGCCUUACUGUUAAAGAAAGCUGAAAGGCUUUGGCGAUGGAUGGACCUGCGGUGCAUUAGCUUGUUGGUGAGGCAACGGCUUACCAAGGCGAUGAUGCAUAGCCGGCCUGAGAGGGCGGACGGCCACACUGGGACUGAGACACGGCCCAGACUCCUGCGGGAGGCAGCAGUAGGGAAUUUUCGUCAAUGGGCGCAAGCCUGAACGAGCAAUGCCGCGUGAGUGAGGAAGGUCUUCGGACUGUAAAGCUCUGUUGCCGGGGAAAAAGGGGAAAUGCAGGAAAUGGCAUUUCAUGGAUGGUACCCGGCCAGAAAGCCACGGCUAACUACGUGCCAGCAGCCGCGGUAAUACGUAGGUGGCGAGCGUUAUCCGGAAUGAUUGGGCGUAAAGGGUGCGCAGGCGGUCUGUUAAGUCGGAAGGCAAAGGGAUGAGCUCAACUCAUUUAUGAUUCAGAAACUGGCAGACUUGAGGACAGGAGAGGGCGGUGGAACUCCAUGUGUAGCGGUAAAAUGCGCAGAGAUAUGGAAGAACACCAGUGGCGAAGGCGGCCGCCUGGCCUGUGACUGACGCUGAGGCACGAAAGCGUGGGGAGCAAAUAGGAUUAGAUACCCUAGUAGUCCACGCCGUAAACGAUGAGGAGCAGGUGUUGGGAGUGAAAUCUCAGUGCCGAAGCCAACGCAGUGACUCCUCCGCCUGGGGAGUAUGCACGCAAGUGUGAAACUCAAAGGAAUUGACGGGGGCCCGCACAAGCGGUGGAGUAUGUGGUUUAAUUCGAAGCAACGCGAAGAACCUUACCAGGUUUUGACAUCGGAUGCGAAGGUGCAGAGAUGCGCUGGAGGUUAACAUCCAGACAGGUGGUGCAUGGUUGUCGUCAGCUCGUGUCGUGAGAUGUUCAGUUAAGUCUGGCAACGAGCGCAACCCCCGUGGUAUGUUACUAACGCUUAGGGCGAGGACUCAUAUCAGACUGCCGGUGACAAACCGGAGGAAGGCGGGGAUGACGUCAAAUCAUCAUGCCCCUUAUGACCUGGGCUACACACGUACUACAAUGGCGUCUACAGAGGGAAGCGACCCUGAGAAGGGAAGCGAAACCGGAAAAGGGCGUCCCAGUUCGGAUUGAAGUCUGCAACCCGACUUCAUGAAGAUGGAAUCGCUAGUAAUCGCGGAUCAGCAUGCCGCGGUGAAUACGUUCCCGGGCCUUGUACACACCGCCCGUCAAACCAUGGAAGCCGGCAACGCCCGAAGCCGGUGGCAUAACCUUUUAGGAGUGAGCCGUCGAAGGCGGGGCCGAUGACUGGGGUUAAGUCGUAACAAGGUAACC